UGCGGUUAAAAAGCUCGUAGUUGGAUUUCUGUCGAAGACGGUCGGUCCGCUCUAUGAGCGUGUAUCUGAUUCGGCUUUGGCAUCCUCGUGGGGAACGUAACUGUGCUUGAUUGCAUGGUGCGGAAUUCACGACUUUUACUUUGAGGAAAUUAGAGUGUUCACGGCAGGCAAGCGCCUUGAAUACAUUAGCAUGGAAUAAUAAUAUAGGACUUUGGUUCUAUUUUGUUGGUUUCUAGGACUAAAGUAAUGAUUAAUAGGGAUAAUUGGGGGCACUUGUAUUAACGCGUCAGAGGUGGAAUUCUUGGAUUGCGUUACGACAAACUACUGCGAAAGCAUUUGCCAAGGAUGUUUUCAUUGAUCAAGAACGAAAGUAUGGGGAUCGAAGAUGAUUAGAUACCGUCGUAGUCUAUACCAUAAACUAUGCCGACUAGAGAUUGGAGGUCGUUCUUUUUAUGACUCCUUCAGCACCUUAUGAGAAAUCAAAGUCUUUGGGUUCCGGGGGGAGUAUGGUCGCAAGGCUGAAACUUAAAGGAAUUGACGGAAAGGCACCACCAGGAGUGGAGCCUGCGGCUUAAAUUUGACUCACCACGGGAAAACUCACCA
rnacentral:rRNA from 1 species